ensembl:snRNA U6 U6 spliceosomal RNA
UGUAUCACUUUGGCAGCAAUACACUAAAAUUGGAAUGAUACAGAGAAGAUUAACAUGGCCCCUAUGCAAAUUGAUCAUGCAAAUUCAUGAAGUGUGCCAUAUUUUU